GACGAACGCUGGCGGCGUGCUUAACACAUGCAAGUCGUACGGUAAGGCCCUUUCUGGGGUACCCGAGUGGCGAACGGGUGAGUAACACGUGAGUAACCUGCCCACAACUUUGGGAUAACGCUAGGAAACUGGUGCUAAUACUGGAUAUGUGCUCCUGCUGCAUGGUGGGGGUUGGAAAGCUCCGGCGGUUGUGGAUGGACUCGCGGCCUAUCAGCUUGUUGGUGGGGUAGUGGCCUACCAAGGCGGCGACGGGUAGCCGGCCUGAGAGGGUGACCGGCCACAUUGGGACUGAGAUACGGCCCAGACUCCUACGGGAGGCAGCAGUGGGGAAUAUUGCACAAUGGGCGCAAGCCUGAUGCAGCAACGCCGCGGGCGGGAUGACGGCCUUCGGGUUGUAAACCGCUUUCAGCAGGGACGAAGCUUUUUGUGACGGUACCUGCAGAAGAAGCACCGGCUAACUACGUG
rnacentral:rRNA from 1 species